rnacentral:rRNA from 1 species
CCUACGGGGGACUGCAGUCGAGAAUCAUUCACAAUGGGGGAAACCCUGAUGGUGCGACGCCGCGUGGGGGAAUGAAGUUCUUCGGAUUGUAAACCCCUGUCAUGUGGGAGCAAAUUAAAAAGAUAGUACCACAAGAGGAAGAGACGGCUAACUCUGUGCCAGCAGCCGCGGUAAUACAGAGGUCUCAAGCGUUGUUCGGAAUCACUGGGCGUAAAGCGUGCGUAGGCUGUUUCGUAAGUCGUGUGUGAAAGGCGCGGGCUCAACCCGCGGACGGCACAUGAUACUGCGAGACUAGAGUAAGGGAGGGGGAACCGGAAUUCUCGGUGUAGCAGUGAAAUGCGUAGAUAUCGAGAGGAACACUCGUGGCGAAGGCGGGUUCCUGGACAUUAACUGACGCUGAGGCACGAAGGCCAGGGGAGCGAAAGGGAUUAGAUACCCCAGUAGUC